GGUGCGCGACGCGUAUACAUGCAAGUCGAGCGAACAGAUAAGGAGCUUGCUCCUUUGACGUUAGCGGCGGACGGGUGAGUAACACGUGGAUAACCUACCUAUAAGACUGGGAUAACUUCGGGAAACCGGAGCUAAUACCGGAUAACAUAUUGAACCGCAUGGUUCAAUAGUGAAAGACGGCUUUGCUGUCACUUAUAGAUGGAUCCGCGCCGUAUUAGCUAGUUGGUAAGGUAACGGCUUACCAAGGCAACGAUACGUAGCCGACCUGAGAGGGUGAUCGGCCACACUGGAACUGAGACACGGUCCAGACUCCUACGGGAGGCAGCAGUAGGGAAUCUUCCGCAAUGGGCGAAAGCCUGACGGAGCAACGCCGCGUGAGUGAUGAAGGUCUUCGGAUCGUAAAACUCUGUUAUCAGGGAAGAACAAAUGUGUAAGUAACUGUGCACGUCUUGACGGUACCUGAUCAGAAAGCCACGGCUAACUACGUGCCAGCAGCCGCGGUAAUACGUAGGUGGCAAGCGUUAUCCGGAAUUAUUGGGCGUAAAGCGCGCGUAGGCGGUUUUUUAAGUCUGAUGUGAAAGCCCACGGCUCAACCGUGGA
rnacentral:rRNA from 1 species